rnacentral:rRNA from 1 species
UACAGAGGCCCCAAGCGUUGUCCGGAAUCACUGGGCGUAAAGGGUGUGUAGGUGGUUUUGUUAGUUUCUCGUUAAAGCUCGCGGCCUAACCGCGAAAAUGCGAGGAAUACGGCAAAACUUAGAGGGUGCGAGGGAUGUAUGGAACUCAUGGAGUAGGGGUGAAAUCCGUUGAUAUCAUGGGGAACACCAAAAGCGAAGGCAGUACAUUGGCGCAUUCCUGACACUGAAACACGAAAGCGUAGGUAGCGAA